AUCUCCUGAAGCAAGAGGUGAUAUUCAAUGUGGUCCGCCUGGCUGCCACCAUCAUCAUCUGUAUCGGGUUUCUUCUGAUGCUACUGCCGGAGGAGUGGGAUGAAAUUACUCUGAGAUUUAUCAACAGCCUGAAGGAGAAGAAGAGCGAGGAGCAUGUGGAAGACUUGACAGAUGUGAGUGUGCACCUGAGGAGCAGAAGCAGGGUCAACGGGACAGUGUCCCUACCGCUGGCUUGAACAGAAACGACCCCUGGAUGCACGUGUGUGUAUAUUCUGUGAAUAUAAAAUUUUCUCACUACCUGUACAUUCAAAUGACACUAUCAACUCCGAGUUUAAAUAAACCAUAUGUGAAAUAUCACCAAGAAUAAAAGUUUACAUUUAUAUGCAUAUCAAGGAACUGAUGUAAAUAAUCAUAAUAAAAUUUUUUACUAAAA
rnacentral:lncRNA from 1 species